UAAAAAAAAAAAAACUCAGAUGUUUAUGAUAGUUUUUUUUUUAACUUUUUUAGUUGUAGAUGGACACAAUACCUUUAUUUAUUUAUUUUUAUGUGGUGCUGAGGAUCAUACCCAGUGCCUCAAUGUGCUAGGCAAGUGCUCUAACACUGAGCCACAACCCCAGACCCUAUUUUAUAUUUAGAGAUAGGUUCUUACUAAUUGCUUAGGGGCUCACUAAGUUGCUGAGGCUGGCUUUGAAUUCUCCAUCCUCCUGCUUUAGCCUCCUGAGCCACUGGGAUUAUAGGUGUAUGCUGAGGCUGGCUUUGAAUUCUCCAUCCUCCUGCUUUAGCCUCCUGAGCCACUGGGAUUAUAGGUGUAUGCCACUGUGCCUGGCUAUUAGAGAUCUUUAAUGUUGAUAUAGUGAUUCUGUGUAUUGAAGGGUAUUUCUUUUUCUCUUUCUUUCUUUCUUUCUUUUAAAUAUUUUUAGUUGUAGUUAGACACAGUAUCUUUUAUUUUUCUGUGGUACUGAGGAUCGGACCCAAUGCCUCUUACAUGCAAGGCAAGUGCUGUACCACUGAGCUAUAGCCCCAGCCCCUACAUCAUCUCUUAAUGUUGAGAACAUUUAAAAUCCUCAGCUAUUGAAAUGUUCAGUUGUUGUCAACCAUAGUUAUCCUACUGUGCUGUAGAAUGUUAUAAGUUAUUUCUCCUGUGCAGCUGCACCCGUGGGUCUCCUCCACGCCCUUCCCAGGUCUGGUAAUACAUAAAUAUUUAUAGCUGCUUUAUUCAUAAUUGCCAACAUCUGGGAACAAAUCAAUUGAAUAAGCUAUUGUCUCUAUGCAAGGGAAGAUUGCUCAGCUUUUAAUCUAAGCAACUUGGGAAGCUGAGGCAGGAGGAUUGAAAGUUGAAGGACAGCCUCAGCAAUUUAGUGAGGCCCUAAACGAUUUAGCAAGACCCUGUCUCAAAAAAUAUAAAGGGUUAGGGAUGUGGUUCAGGGUAAAAUGCCACUGGGUUCAAUUUCUGAUUAAAAAAAAAAAAAGAUUGGUGCAUUCUACACCCUCAGUUAUAAAUCUUGUACAGGGAUGGGGUGAAGCUCAGUGGGAGGGGGAGGCCCUUGGUUCCAUCCCAGCACUGCAAUAUUUUUUUUUUCUUUCUUGUACUGGGGAUUAAAUCCAGGAGCGAGCUUUACCAGUGAGCUGCAUCCCCAGCCCUUUUUAUUCUUUAUCUUGAGACAGUCUCACUAAAUCACUGAGACUGGCCUUGAACUUGCCACCCUCCUGCCUUAGCCUCCCAAGUUGCUGGGAUUACAGUUGUGCGCCAGUGAGCCCAAUCUGGAAAAAAAAAAACAAAACUUACACAUCUUAUGGUAAAUGCCUUUUCCACUGUAACCCCCUACCCGAAAUGCAGGUAUCCCUUGAUAUCUGAACUCUCACUAUUCAAAUAGUUCCAACACAAUCACUUUUAACCCCAAAUUUCUUUUUCUUUCUCUUUAUUUUGAGAUGGGGUCUCACUUUGUUGCCCAGGUUGGUCUUGAACUCCCAUAUUCAGGUGAUCCUCCUGCCUCAGCCUCCCGAGUAGCUGGGACUAAGGUGAUUAUUGAAGUUGGCCCUAAAGUUUGCCAUUUGAAUCGAAACCCUGUGUGAGCUUGGGUGCUCAUCACCUUCCCUGUGCACGCUGAAGGGCUUACACAAUGACAUUAUCUUCCCCUACUGAGGAGUCAGUGUUGACUUCUGCCUGGUGCCUACGAUUGCACCAACCUGGGUCCACUCACGGAUGGUAUCUUGGGGAUCUUGGACAUCUUAUUGGUUUAGUUACAUCCCAUGAUCAUUGCAGUUUGGAAGGGAAAUGGGGUUCAUAUAUGAUGUGUAUUGCACACAGCCACUAAUGAGUCUAAGUGUUGAAUAAUUAGGUAAUUGGUGUUUUACAUUUUUUCUAUUAUGCCAUAACCCUUGGCAGGUUGCUCUCAGAGUUUAAGAGUGUCUUAAUAUAUCUGGGCAAGUUGGCUGGGGUUUUGGAAGAGGCGGGGGUACAUUGUUUUUCUUGUUGAAAAUAGUGCUUGUGGGCUGGGGUUGUGGCUCAGCGGUAGAGCACUCGCCUUGCAUGUGUGAGACCCUGAGUUCGAUCCUCAGCACCACAUAAAAAUAAAUAAACAAAAUAAAGAUAUUGUGCCCAUGUAUAAUUAAAAAAAAAAAGUAAUAAAUAAAUAAAUAAAAUAGUGCUUGGAGCUGGGCACAGUGUAUACCUGUAGUCCCAGCGGCUUGGGAGGCUGAGAGGAGAAUCGCUUGUUCAAAGCCAGCCUCAGCAGCUUAGUGAGACCCUGGCUCAAAAUAAAAGAUAAGAGUCAGGCACAAUGGCACAUGCCUGUAAUCCCAGCAGUGGCUUAAGAGGCUGAGGCAGGAGGAUGGUGAGUUCAAAGCCAUCCUCAGCAAUUUAGCUAGUGAGACCCUGUCUUUAAAUAGAAUACAAAAAAGAGCUGGGGAUGUGCUCAGUGGUUGAGUGCUCCUGAGUUCAAUCCCUGGGACCAAACAAACAACAAAUAAUAAAAGAUAAAAAGGGCUGGGGAUGUGGUUCAGUGGUUAAGUGCCUCUAGGUUCAUUCCCUUGUACCAAAAAAUAAACAAACAGUGCUUGGGGACAAUCAGGUGAGGAAGGUGCCUUCACUGCUAUAAAAUCUGCAAAUUCUGAACUUGGGGGAUUUGAUCAGUAGGACAAAGAAUCUUGCAGCAAAAUUUCCCUGGAAUCCAUUCAACCAUCAGUGACCACAUGGUCUGAGGGGCUCACUAAGUUGCUGAGGCUGGCCUUGAACUCUUCAUCCUCCUGUCUCAGCCUCCUGAGCCACUGGGAUUACAGGUGUGUUCCACCGUGCUCAGCUGUUAUAGAGCUUUAAUCUUCUAGCCAAUCCUGGAAGCAUUUAGAGACGUGCCUUCACCCUGUGUCACAAUGUGGAGAGCCAUUCUCGCACGUGACUGGGCGACUCCCGGUUUGGGUCUGAGGCUUCUGGCUGCGUCGGAACUUUCCCGGCCCUCUCCUGAUGAGAGAACCCGUCCGUGUGGGGGUGUGACUGACCACUCACCCCGGGGGCCCAAUCACUGACCCUGACCUUGGAGUGCGGCCCCCCUCAACCUUCAUUGGAUGGAAUUCUCCCCUGAAUUUCUUGUUCCCCAAUAAAAGGCUACUCCCUGGCGUGCUCCCUCUCUCUCCUGCUAGCCCUGAGUAAUCCUUGCUCCCCUACGGGUGGUUCGAGGUUGGAGCCAGAGAGGGGAGCCAUCUCGGACCUGGUC
rnacentral:lncRNA from 1 species